CAGUCGCCACGGUAAUACGUAGGUGGCAAGCGUUAUCCGGAAUUAUUGGGCGUAAAGCGCGCGUAGGCGGUUUCUUAAGUCUGAUGUGAAAGCCCACGGCUCAACCGUGGAGGGUCAUUGGAAACUGGGAAACUUGAGUGCAGAAGAGGAAAGUGGAAUUCCAUGUGUAGCGGUGAAAUGCGCAGAGAUAUGGAGGAACACCAGUGGCGAAGGCGACUUUCUGGUCUGUAACUGACGCUGAUGUGCGAAAGCGUGGGGAUCAAACAGGAUUAGAUACCCCCGUAGUCCCUGUCUCUUAUCU
rnacentral:rRNA from 1 species